GUAAAGACAAUCUUGUCACAAGGUCACCUGACGCCACUCCCGCUCUAUGUGUGUCCUGUGUACUGGGCGUAUGACUACGCCUUAAGAGUGUAUCCUGUGCCUGAUGUCAUCGUCUUCGCUGACAAAUAUGAUCCAUUCAACAUCAGCAACACAGACUGUCUGUGCAUCAACCCGGGCUCUUUUCCAAGAAGUGGAUUUACCUUUAAAGUGUACUACCCCUCCAACAGAACAGUUGAGGACAGCAAAUUGCAAGGUCUUUAAAGUUGAAGAGACCGGCACGGAUGUUAUGUGGAUUAUUUGUUUUGUUUUUUACUUACAUUUUCUCUUUCAAAUUCCUUUAAAAUAAUUUUCUUAUAGUAGCUACAAAACAGUGGUUUUGCUGGGUGCCA